rnacentral:misc_RNA from 1 species
AAGAAAAACGUUCCGGACAGCGCCGUAAGGUGCCAAAGGGGCUUUCUCUUCCACCCACCCCACUGUGAACCUUUAGCGUGAGGUCAGUAAGGGCGAGCCCUCAAUCCCGGGGGAGCGCUCCGAAAGCUUGCGAUAUCUACAUACCCGUAUGCAAGUCUCAGAAUGUACAUGUUGCGCUCCGUCGCAAAUAAAAUA